AUGACCCAUUCGACUGUUUUCAGGCUGGAAGCACCCGCCUCCAUUGCUUUUUCCUCUGGCCUCAUGAUCUCUGAAGCCAACAGAGUGGGAAGUAUGAGGGGAGAAUGUCAAACGCAGAGCCCAGAGGAUGGUGCGAUCCAGAGUGCCGUGUUCCUAGACCUUCCAUCUGCACACCCCCAGUGCCAGUGCAGAGUGUGCUGUCAGAGCAGCCCAGUCUUUCCAUGCCUCAUCUUCACUGGAAAAUAAGAAAAGACACGUCCGCUGCCUUAGUAUUGCCUGCAUACUACCACUUGGCAGACCUUCAGGGUUUUAUGACAAAUAGUAAUGAAUAAUUAACUAAUCAUUUGAGCUGCUGAAGAUAACGGCCUUGCCUCAGCUUGCACCAUCCCAGACAGGCCUUGACAGUGUUUCCUUUCUUCAUAAAGGCUGGCUGAGAUGCGGGCUCUCUCCGAACACCCGUGAGGCCAUCAGGGAACUGGAUCGUUCCUUCCUGCAUUCUGCUUCUCACUAAGCCGCUCACAGGAGAGUGAGACAAAUACAGCUGGUGACUCGACUCUCUCUCAGUCCUGCCGUGCUUUUCUAUUGGAGACCAAAGUGUUGGGGGCCUACGACCUCCAUGAGCUUCAUUAGAGCAGUGGCUUGUCCCCUAGGGGACAUUUGGCACUGUCUGGACACAUUUCGAUUGUCACAACUGGGAGAGGGAGUAUUGUUGCUACUGGCAUUUAGUGGGUAGGGUGCAGGGAUGCUGCUUAACAUCGUACAGUGCACAGGAUGGGCCCCCACACCAAGAAUUGUCUCGGCCCCAAAUGUCCACCCUGCAGUAGAGUGGCAGAAGGACAUGUCUCCCCAACAUGUUCCAUUGCAUCCUGGUGACUGUAGGUAGCCCAGGACCAGAGAACCUUGGGCUCCCUCGAGUGGUGAUUCACACUAUGACAGCCAAGAAGGGCCCAUAGCUGCAGGGGGUAGGGCGUGUGUGUGUGUGUGUGUGUGUGUGUGUGUGUGUGUAACAAGUCAUUUCAUUCAUCACAAAAUAUGCUUUGGUUGACGGUGACAACAAUUUUCAUAAAUCAUUAAUGAGCCAUUUUCUUCUCUCUAUGUUGUUAAUAUCUAUGCAGAGGCCUUUGAAUUCAGAGAGCAGAUUUCCU
rnacentral:lncRNA from 1 species